UUCUCUCAGUAUAAGUCUUGUGAUCUUGUGAUCUUGUGAUCACGGGCACACCCAAGCGCUGGUCAGUGAAGUGGUAGUGUGUGGAUGAAUGAACUCUCCUCAACUUCGAGCACGAAACCAUGCACGGCAGGGCAAUGCAGGUCCUAAUGAGUGGUGUGCAGAAGAGGAGGAAGACGGCAAAGAAAAGAACGUGAAGAUUUCGGAGAGAGAAUGGCCUGGGCUUUCACUGUGUGUGGAGUCUGCUGGGAUAAACAGCCAUUCACGAACAUUUUGCAUUUUAAAUUCCAGGCACAAGCUGAAACCCAGAGAGGAACUUCUGUGAGGAGCUAGCAGACUCCAGCUUGGUCUUCAAUAUUACUAUGAAGCAAGCCUUGAUGAGAAGAAAGAUGGAAGUUCACUGCAGCUGGAACUUGAUUGUGCAUUCCACAGGCAGAUGUGCCCGGGGUCGAGGAGAGAUGAACUGAAGACUUCUAUGCCGACAGCGCCUCAGAACGGCAGCAAGUGCCCGUGCCUUCAACAGCAGCGCCAUCUCUAACUCUAUGGUACAACUCCAUAGUCUUCUUCACAGACCACCCUGCCUCCUAAGUAAAUGUGUGCUUAAAUUUCUAUUAAUUGUAGUAAAACCGAGCCAUAAUUAUGA